UGCCUACGGGGCGCAGCAGUAGGGAAUCUUCCACAAUGGACGAAAGUCUGAUGGAGCAACGCCGCGUGAGUGAAGAAGGGUUUCGGCUCGUAAAGCUCUGUUGGUAGUGGAGAAAGAUAGAGGUAGUAACUGGCCUUUAUUUGACGGUAAUUACUUAGAAAGUCACGGCUAACUACGUGCCAGCAGCCGCGGUAAUACGUAGGUGGCAAGAGUUGUCCGGAUUUAUUGGGCGUAAAGCGAGUGCAGGCGG
rnacentral:rRNA from 1 species